CAGCCGCCGCGGGAAUACGGAGGGUGCAAGCGUUAAUCGGAAUUACUGGGCGUAAAGCGUGCGUAGGCGGCUUCUUAAGUCGGAUGUGAAAUCCCUGAGCUUAACUUAGGAAUUGCAUUCGAUACUGGGAAGCUAGAGUAUGGGAGAGGAUGGUAGAAUUCCAGGUGUAGCGGUGAAAUGCGUAGAGAUCUGGAGGAAUACCGAUGGCGAAGGCAGCCAUCUGGCCUAAUACUGACGCUGAGGUACGAAAGCAUGGGGAGCAAACAGGAUUAGAUACCCCCGUAGUCCCUGUCUCUUAUAC
rnacentral:rRNA from 1 species